AAUUUCAUCUUUUAUGUUCCACAGAAGAAAGCCAGUCAUACCAGUUUGGAACGCCCUUAGAUCAAUAGGUUGCGAAAUCAAACCAGAAUCUGGAGACUCUGCGUCAGCAGCUGAGAAGAAAACCCUGCUAUUUCCACUUUGAUAAGCAUCAUCUGCUCUUCCAUGUCUCCAGCACCAGUCCCAGUAUGAGGCUUCAGGGCUGCUGAAUUCUGCCACACUAGAUUGCUCUCACCAUGGCUUGGCAGCUGAAAUCUUCAUGUAGUCACAACAUACUCUAUUCUGCUUGGAUGAACUUUGUAUUUUGAAAAUACUUUUUUUUUCUUUCUAUUUAGAGAUGAAUAAUCGCUUUUGCGAAACCAUGCAUAUAUCCUAUUUUAACCAAUAUA